rnacentral:rRNA from 1 species
GAUGAACGCUAGCGGCAGGCUUAACACAUGCAAGUCGAGGGGUAUAGUUCUUCGGAGCUAGAGACCGGCGCACGGGUGCGUAACGCGUAUACAAUCUACCUUUUACAGAGGGAUAGCCCAGAGAAAUUUGGAUUAAUACCUCAUAGUAUUUUUGAAUCGCAUGAUUUGAUUAUUAAAGUUCCAACGGUAAAAAGAUGAGUAUGCGUCCCAUUAGUUAGUUGGUAAGGUAACGGCUUACCAAGGCUACGAUGGGUAGGGGUCCUGAGAGGGAGAUCCCCCACACUGGUACUGAGACACGGACCAGACUCCUACGGGAGGCAGCAGUGAGGAAUAUUGGACAAUGGGCGCAAGCCUUGAUCCAGCCAUGCCGCGUGCAGGAUGACGGUCCUAUGGAUUGUAAACUGCUUUUGUACAGGAAGAAACCCUUUCACGUGUGGAAGAUUGUACGGUACUGUAAGAAUAAGGAU